GAUGAACGCUGGCGGCGUGCCUAAUACAUGCAAGUCGAGCGAACAGAUGAGGAGCUUGCUCCUCUGACGUUAGCGGCGGACGGGUGAGUAACACGUGGAUAACCUACCUAUAAGACUGGGAUAACUUCGGGAAACCGGAGCUAAUACCGGAUAAUAUAUUGAACCGCAUGGUUCAAUAGUGAAAGACGGUUUUGCUGUCACUUAUAGAUGGAUCCGCGCCGCAUUAGCUAGUUGGUAAGGUAACGGCUUACCAAGGCAACGAUGCGUAGCCGACCUGAGAGGGUGAUCGGCCACACUGGAACUGAGACACGGUCCAGACUCCUACGGGAGGCAGCAGUAGGGAAUCUUCCGCCAUGGGCGCAAGCCUGACGGCGCAACGCCGCGUGAGUGAUGAAGGUCUUCGGAUCGUAAAACUCUGUUAUUAGGGAAGAACAAAUGUGUAAGUAACUAUGCACGUCUUGACGGUACCUACUCAGAAAGCCACGGCUCACUACGUG
rnacentral:rRNA from 1 species